rnacentral:lncRNA from 1 species
CAUUGGCCUGUCUGAAGCACCUGACAUAGCUCACUUUUCUUUAUGAAGCAUUCCUCUCGGCUUCUGGCACCAUAGUCCUGCCUUCUCACUGAGGGCUCUCCAGGCUGGGUGAAUUUCUUCCUCUCCUGCUGGCCCUAAACUGAGCACCUCUGAGGUUAAACCUGACCUGUGUUACUUUCUACCUCUCUAGGGGACGACUGCACCCAUUCCAUAGCUUAAUUACACCUAUGUCUCUUGCCCUGUUCAUAGGCACAGUAGGUUAUUAGCUCCAGGAGAGACAAUCUGGCUGUAAAAGCCUCCAAACAUAUCAGCCUACAGCAGACUCAACAAAUGACAUUGUGUGGACCAGUGGGUGGGCAAAUGAAUGUGUGAAGGAACCCUGCCAUGGCUUUGUUUGCUCACAUGGCCUCCCACCCUCUCUCAUGAGCUUACUGUGUCUGCUCCUUGGCUUCCAGACUGGUCCAGCCCAUCAUUCCAGCAGCUCUCGGGAGUAACCCAGACCUGUGUCACCAGAUCCCUGGGAAUGGUAUGGAGGGUGAGAGGGUGUCUGCCAGGGGAUAGCAGCUCCGGGUGGCAUUUGAAGCUUCAUCAGGCCAAACCCUGUGUUCUCUGUGGAGGAGCCAUAGUUGGGGCUGCUUCUGUGUGGGCUCCGUGGGGCUGCUUGGGCCAGAGUUGCUCUUUGAUCUCUUAGAGAAUGGCAGCAGCUCACAUUCAGCUGUGCCUUUGCCUGUGGCUUCCUACCAGUCGGACAGUUUUCCUUUCCCCUGUGUGAAGGUGAC